GAUGAACGCUGGCGGCGUGCCUAAUACAUGCCAGUCGAGCGAACGGACGAGAAGCUUGCUUCUCUGAUGUUAGCGGCGGACGGGUGAGUAACACGUGGAUAACCUACCUAUAAGACUGGGAUAACUUCGGGAAACCGGAGCUAAUACCGGAUAAUAUUUUGAACCGCAUGGUUCAAAAGUGAAAGACGGUCUUGCUGUCACUUAUAGAUGGAUCCGCGCUGCAUUAGCUAGUUGGUAAGGUAACGGCUUACCAAGGCAACGAUGCAUAGCCGACCUGAGAGGGUGAUCGGCCACACUGGAACUGAGACACGGCCCAGACUCCUACGGGAGGCAGCAGUAGGGAAUCUUCCGCAAUGGGCGAAAGCCUGACGGAGCAACGCCGCGUGAGUGAUGAAGGUCUUCGGAUCGUAAAACUCUGUUAUUAGGGAAGAACAUAUGUGUAAGUAACUGUGCACAUCUUGACGGUACCUAAUCAGAAAGCCACGGCUAACUACGUG
rnacentral:rRNA from 1 species